rnacentral:rRNA from 1 species
AUUGAACGCUGGCGGCAGGCCUAACACAUGCAAGUCGAGCGAGAGGCGGACGGGUGAGUAAUGUCGGGGAAACUGCCUGUUGGAGGGGGAUAACUACUGGAAACGGUAGCGAAUACCGCACUCCAUCCGAUUGGCCCAGAUGGGAUUAGCUAGUAGGUGGGGUAAUGGCUGACCUAGGCGACGAUCCCUCGCUGGGCUGAGAGGAUGACCAGCGACACUGGAACGGGGCCACGGUCCUGACUCCUCCGGGAGGCAGCAGUGGGGAAUGUUUCACAAUGGGCUCAAGCCUGAUGCAGCCAUGCCGCGUGUGUGAGGAAGGCCUUCGGGUUGUAAAGCACUUUCAUCUGGGAGGCGUUACCCGCAGAAGAAGCACCGGCUAACUCCGUGCCAGCGGCCGCGGUAAUUC